rnacentral:misc_RNA from 1 species
AAUUUUUAUUAGCAUUUGUGAGGCGUACAAGUUUCUGUAGUUGCCUAUAGAUGCUUUUUUGUAUGUGUCCAGAGAAGAUGGAGGGGGUUGUUGAGAAUGGUUGAAGCUGGAGAACAGAAUUUAAAGUUAUGUGGUACCGACAUGUGGAAUAAAUUUGAACUUCCUUUAUGAGGCAGUAAGCAUUAGCAAAAAUUCUAUGGGUUGGAAUUAGUCAAUUGGGAAUAGAAUGUUAAUUUUUCGUGUUUUUGACAAAUGCACCUUGAAAUUCAUAAGUUUCUUUUUAUGUCAAUAGGAUUUGAUGAAUGGUGGAAGUCCUUGAAAUAUCUGCACAUUUUCAAUUUUUGCUGACAUGGAAUGUAUUUUAGAUUUCUGUGUUUAAUGUGCCUCUUGUUUUUUGUGUGAUCACAUCGGUUUGUAUACUCACUUAAGGACAUUUGUUUUGGGACCUUAUUGCAUGUGUAAGUUAUCUUUUA